rnacentral:rRNA from 1 species
GACGAACGCUGGCGGCGUGCUUAAUACAUGCAAGUCGAACGGACAGGCCCUGCUUUUGUGGGGUGCUCGAGUGGCGAACGGGUGAGUAACACGUGAGUAACCUGCCCUUGACUUUGGGAUAACUUCAGGAAACUGGGGCUAAUACCGGAUAGGAGCUCCUGCUGCAUGGUGGUGGUUGGAAAGUUUCGGCGGUUGGGGAUGGACUCGCGGCUUAUCAGCUUGUUGGUGGAGUAGUGGCUUACCAAGGUUUUGACGGGUAGCCGGCCUGAGAGGGUGACCGGCGACAAUGGGACUGAGAGACGGCCCAGACUCCUACGGGAGGCAGCAGUGGGGAAUAUUGCACAAUGGGCGGAAGCCUGAUACAGCAACGCCGCGUGCGGGAUGACGGCCUUCGGGUUGUAAACCGCUUUGGCCUGUGACGAAGCGUGAGUGACGGUAAUGAGUAAAGAAGCACCGGCUAACUACGUG